rnacentral:rRNA from 1 species
CCUACGGGGGGCAGCAGUGGGGAAUAUUGGGCAAUGGGCGCAAGCCUGACCCAGCAACGCCGCGUGAAGGAAGAAGGCUUUCGGGUUGUAAACUUCUUUUGUCAGGGACGAAGCAAGUGACGGUACCUGACGAAUAAGCCACAGCUAACUACGUGCCAGCAGUCGCGGUAAUACGUAGGUGGCAAGCGUUAUCCGGAUUUACUGGGUGUAAAGGGCGUGUAGGCGGGGAAGCAAGUCAGAUGUGAAAACCACGGGCUCAACCUGUGGCCUGCAUUUGAAACUGUUUUUCUUGAGGGCUGGAGAGGCAAUCGGAAUUCCGUGUGUAGCGGUGAAAUGCGUAGAUAUACGGAGGAACACCAGUGGCGAAGGCGGAUUGCUGGACAGCAACUGACGCUGAGGCGCGAAAGCGUGGGGAGCAAACGGGAUUAGAUACCCGAGUAGUC